CCUGCGGGCCACACGAUCGCGGGGGAACAAAUCCCUCGAGGAAAGUCCGGACACCAGAGGGCGAGGUGGUUGGUAACGCCGACCCGGGGAAACCCGCGGGAAAGUGCCACAGAAACACACCGCCGAUGGCGCGGCCAUUUGGACGCGCACAGGCAAGGGUGAAAUGGUGCGGUAAGAGCGCACCAGCGUCGCGGUGACGCGGCGGCUGGGCAAACCCCACCUGGUGCAAGGCCAAGCAGGACCGUUGACCCGACCCGGCGAGGUCCAGGUAGGUCGCAGGGCCGCGGCAAACGCGGCUCCCGGGGCUUCGGCCCCGGAGAUGGAUGAUCGUGCACGACAGGAUCCGGCUUAUCGGCCCGCUACGGAG
rnacentral:RNase_P_RNA from 1 species